CCUCAAAGUAUUAGGACAACUCUCUUGAGUUCUGAUGAGCAUUUUUCUGCAAAGGAAUAUAUUGACCCCACAGGUUUCACCUGACGCCAAAGAAUCCAUGACACAAAAAAGGAUGAAGAACCUGAGGCCCAAGGAAAUUAAGUAAUUUGCCUAAGAUCACAGAACUAUGAAGCAUCAGAGAUAAGACAUCAGCCCAGAGCUUCUGUGCCUAAGCUGAAAUAAAUGGGAAAACAUCCAGCCA
rnacentral:lncRNA from 1 species